rnacentral:rRNA from 1 species
GCAUAUCAAUAAGCGGAGGAAAAGAAACUAACAAGGAUUCCCCUAGUAGCGGCGAGCGAAGCGGGAAGAGCUCAAAUUUAUAAUCUGGCACCUUCGGUGUCCGAGUUGUAAUCUCUAGAAAUGUUUUCCGCGUUGGACCGCACACAAGUCUGUUGGAAUACAGCGGCAUAGUGGUGAGACCCCCGUAUAUGGUGCGGACGCCCAGCGCUUUGUGAUACAUUUUCGAAGAGUCGAGUUGUUUGGGAAUGCAGCUCAAAUUGGGUGGUAAAUUCCAUCUAAAGCUAAAUAUUGGCGAGAGACCGAUAGCGAACAAGUACCGUGAGGGAAAGAUGAAAAGCACUUUGGAAAGAGAGUUAACAGUACGUGAAAUUGUUGGAAGGGAAACGCUUGAAGUCAGACUUGCUUGCCGAGCAAUCGGUUUGCAGGCCAGCAUCAGUUUUUCGGGGUGGAUAAUGGUAGAGAGAAGGUAGCAGUUUCGGCUGUGUUAUAGCUCUUUACUGGAUACACCCUGGGGGACUGAGGAACGCAGUGUGCCUUUGGCGGGGGUUUCGACCUCUUCACACUUAGGAUGCUGGUGGAAUGGCUUUAAACGACCCGUCUUGAAACACGGACC